rnacentral:rRNA from 1 species
UGGGGAAUAUUGCACAAUGGGCGAAAGCCUGAUGCAGCGACGCCGCGUGAGGGAUGACGGCCUUCGGGUUGUAAACCUCUUUCAGUAGGGACGAAGCGCAAGUGACGGUACCUGCAGAAGAAGCACCGGCUAACUACGUGCCAGCAGCCGCGGUAAUACGUAGGGUGCGAGCGUUGUCCGGAAUUACUGGGCGUAAAGAGCUCGUAGGCGGUUUGUCACGUCGUCUGUGAAAUCCUAGGGCUUAACCCUGGACGUGCAGGCGAUACGGGCUGACUUGAGUACUACAGGGGAGACUGGAAUUUCUGGUGUAGCGGUGGAAUGCACAGAUAUCAGUAAGAACACCGAUGGCGAAGGCAGGUCUCUGGGUAGUAACUGACGCUGAGGAGCGAAAGCAUGGGUAGCGAACAGG